AGGAAGUGGCUGCUGAGAGAGAAGCUGCUGGAAAGGCUGGCUGCAGUGGGGACUGGUGGCUGCAAAGCAGAGUGGGAUAAGCUGCGGCGUCCCCUACUUUUGGAUUGCAUUUCCCCAGCACUGUCCCCUUAAAACAUUUGAGAAGUGCUCAUGCUGGAGAUCAAUGCAAACAUCCAGACGGUGUAUAGGUAGGAUGCAUGGGUCUGAAACAGCAUCCACUUUCUUCUCUAAGGGAAACACUCAAAGUGCAGACAGACCUGGGUUCAAGAACGUCAAAGCUGAUACCCUGUCGAGAUCCCUGUCUCCGGAAGAGGCUCCUUCAGUCCCUCCUUGUCCUAUUAUUCCUCCUGAAUGAGUGGUGGCUACUGUGUCCUUAGCUCUGCUGGCUACUGAGAAUACCCCAAAGUGCCCGUCUGGUAAGACUUUCGUCCCUCAGUCUAAGGUCUCUCAGAUCCUCUGGUGGGGUCAUUCCUCUAAGACUGCAGACCAACCAGGGGUUAAGAAGACACUUGAUCUAAUUUCCAGAUACUUCUGGUGGCAGAUAUACCGAUAGAUUUACUGAAGUCAGCAGAAUUUACUACAAUUCUGGUGGUCGUAGAUCGAUUUUCCUUCAGUACUCAAGGUGGAUGUUCCUGCUGCUGAGGCUGCCAUUCAUGACUUCAAGUCCAUUUGGUCGUCUGCUCAUCAAGGUCUGGUGAAGGCGUCUCUCAGUCAAAAGAAGGCAGCAGAUAAACAUCAUAAAUCUGCCCCUUGUUUUGCAGUUGGAGAUUCCAUCUGGCUGUCUUCUAAGAAUAUUAAGCUACGUGUCCAUUGCCCUAAGUUGGGUCCUCAUUACAUUGGUCCUUUCAAAGUCAAGGAGGUCAUCAAUCCUGUUUGUGUUAAGCUCGAGCUCCUUCCCAGUAUGAAUAUUUUGAACCCCAGUGGGUGCUCCUGAGAGGGGCGAUACUGUAAGGAGCACCGGGAGACGGCGCACGUCCCAACUUUAGGCGCGCCAAAUUCAAACCUUAAAAGCGCUACUUUGCUUGUUUUCUUUGCCCAAGCUAGUCCUGUUUUCCUGGUUCCUUUUGGGCCCGGGGCCCUAAAAGGGCAUCAGUGAACACCGGGCUCGGCAGGGCUCUCCUGCUCUACCUAAGGGGUUAUUCUAGGCAGUUUCCGAGCUCACAGAAUGUAACACAAUGUUUACAAGAACUAACCUUUAUUCCAUUUGAUAGAACAAGCACAUGUAACAUACAAAUAAAUGUAUAGCAAAACUGCUAAAUACAAUAAACAUUGGCAUUGGUAUUGGCAUUAUAUCUGUAAAAGCUCGGCUAACAGGUUCAGCACUGGAUCUAGUAGCACUUUCCAUAUUCUUGAAUAACUGAUACAAAGGAGCAACAGAGGUGGAAACCCUACUCUUAGAACCAAAAUGUAAACAAACUUUAACUUGGACUUAUUUUCUUUAUUAUUUUGGUAUUGAUGAAGACAUCAAGCAAACAUGCCCAAAGGUAUAGCACUUGAUACUUGCAAAGUUUGAUGCAACAGAUGUUCUCAACCAGUCCUUGUUCAGAUGGGCUAGCUUUUAUACUUAGAUACAUGUCUAGAAGAGUUGCAAUAGUGGUGUAGAACAGCCCAGUUCUACCAUUUGCCCCAGUCACUUGGAUCUCCAGGGCUCCUCCAGGACUCCCUCUCUUGUUGAGCUGAAUUGCAGGUUUUUCCUCACUCUGAUUUCAAUCACCUACUUGUCAUAACUGACUGAUACUUGUCAUAACAGCCCUACUGAAAUUUCUACCCAAAGAGAUUC